CACAUACAGAAACUACUCGGUAUGUGUAUGUAUAUGUAUCUCCACUGGUUAGUUGUUAGUGGUGUCUAGAUUCUGGCAGAAGCUUCCUAAAGGACAUAAGUAUCAAGCCAUUCUGAACGUAGGUAUUUUAGCAGAAAAAGGCCAUUACAAUGCUUUAGGGCUAGCAUGUACGGAAGGCCUAGGUGGGGGAGCAGAAAAGUCACAUUCAGGUACCAUUGGGAAAUUUAAUGGACUAGAGUAGAGAAUUCAAAUAGAAAUUUAACUAGAAACAUCUAGAAAAAAGGGUGCCUACGAAAUGAAACCUUUUGAAACGCAUAAUUCUCAUUUAAUUUGGGAAGCAAUUGGAAGCGUUUGAGGAGGAGAGUGCAAUAGACCAAAAAUGUUUGAAACAGGAGAAAAUAAUACAAAUCAGAUCCUUAAUAUAAGAUGUUCCAAGAAGCUCCUAAAGAGCUUGAUUCUGGCUCUAACAUUGGGAAGGAAUGAUUAGGAUGUUCCUUCCUCCAGUAUUCAGCCUUCAACUGGUCAAGCUGAAGUAGUGAGAAUAAGGACAAGGGGACCAAGAGUUAAGGCUAGCCAAUCAGUCAAUAAUUCAUUAAUCAAGCAAAUAUUUGUUAAGCCACUUGCUUAAAAAUAUUAAUGCACAAUGUUAGAAGCUAGGAAUAUGAAUGUCAUAGGACAUCAUCCCAGCCCUUGAUAGAUACUCAUUUUUUAGCAGAGGAAGAUGAUGAUUUUUUGUUGAUGAAUUGGCAGGACUUCAAUAACAGUCCUGAAAUAGGAGUUCUUUUGUGUCACGUCAGGAUUGGUGGUGUCUUGGGAGGGCUGGGACGCAGGUUCGACCCUGGCCCAGCACAAUGGGUUAAGGAUCUGGCAUUUCCACAGCUGCGGCUUAGUUCAAAACUGCGGCUCGGAUCUUAUCCCUGGUUUGGGAACUCCACGUGCAGUGGGACAGACAAAAAAAAAGUCCUAAAAUAAAUGUCUAGCUAGUGAAAAAGGAACAUACUGGUCAAAUGGAUGAAAAUUAUCCGUGCUUGUGACCCUGGGGAAAGAAGAGAAUUGCAGCACCACUUUCCAAAAGAAUUUAGGAAGGAGAGAUUUGAUGUUUGAUAUUUUGUUUCAGACAGGUUUGGGUUGUUUGUAUAUAUGAGUAGUGCUGCCCUGCAGGCAGCAAGGAAUACUGAACCAACCGUAAUGUGGAUCGUCUAAGCUAGAGCUAAGGAUUUUUGAGAAUUUAAAGUCAUUUUCCUAGAAAGACUCACACAAGAGCAAAGUUAGUUAUAAACCGACAGUCUAUGAAUAAACCUAAAAAAAACAAACAACAACAACAACAAGAAAACAAAACCCCUGAUUAAAGGUUCAGGUGUAUUUUGUGUUUAGAGAUAAGAGAGGAAGGAGGGAUUCAGUGAAGGAAACAAAUUAGCUAGAUUUCCAACUAUGUUUUACUUAACUUCAUUUGCAUCUCCAAAUGUCACCCAGAAAUUAUUAAAAAUGGAAAAAGCUAAUUUUACAAUUGUGAAAUCUAGUCUAUUCUUCUUUUCUGAACUGAGUGAAAAAAUUCUAGAAAUAGUACCUUUACCUAAAGCUUGUAAGGCCAUCUUUAUCUUUACAGUUGUGACCUAAUUAAUGCUUUCCACAAACCAGCAAAUUUGGCAUUAUUUUCCUCAUUUUAUGAAGGAAAAACUGCACUGAGAGGUUUAGAAGCUCGAGAAGAAAUUAGUUUGCAGGUGAUAAUUACUUCUGUUUUGGUUUCUGUCCUUAAUGAGGAAAGAAAAUCACACUGUGCAUUUAAAAACUAUAGGUUGCCCUCCAGCUCCUUUAUGUGGGACAAUGUGAAAGCUCCAAUGAGACAAUUAUGAACGGGUUGAGGAAGAAGCAGCAUAGGCACCAAUGGCUUGAGAGAAAUUAAAAAUCAAAAAAUUGUACUUUGUUUCUUAAAUGGAGAGUCUUUUUUUAAAAGAUAGAGAAAUCAUGUCUUGUUUUGCUAAAUAUUUUCUUAACAUGCAUGGGUUUUCUAAAUACAACAAAAUUUAUUAUCAUCAACAUUCUUUCUCUCUUUCUUUCUCUCUUUCUUUCUUUCUUUCUUUCUUUCUCUUCCUUCCUUUCUUUCUUUCUUUCUCUUCCUUCCUUUUCUUUUCCCUUUUCUUUUCUUUUCUUUUUAGGACUGUAUCUGCAGCAUAUAGACGUUCCCAGGCUCUGGGGUGAAUUAGAGCUGCAGCUGAGGCCUAUGCCAUAGCCACAGCAAUGCCAGAUCUGAGCAGCUUGGGGCAACGCCGGAUCCUUAACACACUGGGAUCAAACUCACAUCCUCAUGGAUAAUAGUCAGAUUCUUAAUCCAAUGAGCCACAACAGGAACUCCUCAUUAACAUUUUUAGGCAUGUAUCUAAGGACAAGGUGACCAUGAAAACAACUUAAGGUAUGAUUCCUGAACUUGAAAUAUUUAUAAAACAGAUAACAUGAUUCUGAACAAAUUCAAAGAGUAAGAGAAAAGAAUUACAGACUGCUCAGCACUCAGAUCCAUACUCCACCUUCUGUCAAAGGCUUGCAUACCGGGAAUGGGUAUCAUUGUGGCCAUCUUGGAGGCUGCCUUCCAUAGUAAGGGGGGACAGUGAGCUCUGUUUGACAUGCUGAAUUUGAGAGGAUGCCAGUUUAUCCUAGUGGGGCUAUUUAGGAUUUAUUUGGAAACAAGACUAGAGAUCAGGAAAGCCUGGAGCUCAGGCCAAAGUUGGAGUCAUGGAUUUGGGAGUUACCGGUGUCUUACAAACGGUGGUUGAAAACUUUGGGAGUGAAUGGGAGAGGGCUGAAAUAGAAGAAAGUUAAAGAUAGAAUCCUAGGAAAUAUUAACUCAUAUGGAACAGGUGGAAUUAGAAGAGCUGCCAGAGAUAGGAAAGAAAGGGCAGUUAGAGAACACAGAAAGAGAAAAUCAUCCCAGAAGCUAGAGAAUAGAGGUCCCAUCAAAUCAGACAAGUGUCAAGUGGUAUGAGAAUAGGCUGUUGGAUUUGAUUAUUAAGUAGGUCAGUGUUAACCUUUAAGAGAGUGUUCCCAAACAGGGUCAUUGGGAAAAAUAAUUGAUGAAAUUAUUUAAUCAAAUUUGCUAAAGCAAAAUACAACAUACUGAUAAAAGCAAAUAGUAAUGGUCUUUAUAUAAGGCAUCUUUUAUUCCAAUCUAAGGGCCUAUUCCUUGAUAAAAACCACAUCCCUCCUUCAUCAAAGAAGAUUAAACAUGUUUACUUAGAGCUAUUUGACACGUCCAUCUCACUAUGCAAGCCAGAUCAUAGUGCACUUAGAUCCCUCAAGCUCCUCAGCCCAACCCCUGUCACAGUCUGCAUUUCAAAAGGCUGAAGAAGAAUCCUAUAACAACUGAUCAGGAAUACAAAGCUUUACAACAGAAUAGAUUUGUGUAAAAGAAAACAUUUGGGUUUUUUGGUUUGUUUUCUUUGUUUUUCUAUGCAUCUCAGUUAAAUGACCUUUUUACUGUAAAACUCUAACGACUUGACAUAUGACGCCAGGCUGCAUCAUAAAUAUCUGGCAGUUUAUAAUAAUUUUGCGUUUAUUUUAAAACACUUCAUCUAUUUUAUCACUGCUUAUUUUCAGUUUUUGUGUCUUCAAAAAUAGGUAGUAAAAAUCAAGAAUGAAGAGAAUGUUUAGAAUAAAACAGUAAACGUUCACCAAUGAAUACAUAUUUUUUAAAGAUUUGAAAUAUGUUUUAACCUCUAGAAUGUACUUAUUUUCCUCAUGCUAAGCUAAGGGCGGCUUCAAGGUACGAUGAGAACACUCUAAUAGCUGUAAUUUAGCCAAAACAUAUUCUCCCUGAUUUCACAGAAAUGAUGACUUUUGAUGACUUUAAUUCUAUGAAAGAAAACUUAAUACAUCUUUUCUUUGCUUCUGCCACCAAAGAGAGUGAAUGUAUACAUAACAGAGCCUAAGAAGGAAUAUGUGCCCAAACAUGUCCUGGCAUCUUUGGGAAGAUAGGAUCUGCCCAGACUCAAAGAACAUUGGAAUUGGGAGUAAAGAGGUAUACAAAUCAAUAUUUUAGUAGCCCAUAAUCCACUAUUUUUUGCCCACACCUGCGACAUCCAGAAAUUUCCUGCGCCAGGGAUUGAACCUCUGCCAUAGCAGUGACAAUGCUGAAUCCUUAACCACUAGGCCACCAGGGAACUCCAAGACCCACUAUUCUUAAUUGACUUUUGUAAAAACCUCUGUGUUAAGGAAAUUAUACUAGCCUCAUUCUUUGUAAUUUGCUGUUUUUAACUUAAGAGAAUUAGCUUUCGAAAUUCACUUCAUUCUUUCAAAAUUUCUCACAAGAUGUCCAUUUUGUUUGUUUAACUGCAAAUAGGGCACCAGAAUGCUAAUGAGGUAGAAUUUAAAACAUGGGUUGUGAUACAUAUAUACACACAUACAGAUGGAAGAAUCUAAGGAACUUUUUCUAUUGAAAGAGUGUAGAGUGUUAAGAUCACCUGCCCAAUUCCCAAAAUGAACCUGAGCCCAACUGUUAAGUGACUUGCCAAAGGUGUCACAACUGACAGGUGACAGAGCCAGGGUGAGACCCCAAGUCCCUGUCUUCCUAGUCUGGUGCUCUUUAUCCAACACCACCCUGCCCCUCCACUAGGUGAGAUUUUCAAUAUUUCCCCAAAAAGAACAAACAAAAUUUUUUUAUAAAACUUAUUAGUGGUUAGAGAAAAUUCAGGAACAUAAAUUUGAGUUCUGGCUCAUCUACCAUUUAUUUGCCACCAGCAAAUCACUAAUAUCUCCACAUCUAUAGCUACAUUUCCCUUAUUCAGAGAAGUACAUUUUGGUACUUCAAAGCCACGUACUACAGAUCAAGACCAGAGGUCAAAAGCUUUUGUUUCAUAGCUGGUUUCCUCUUCAGGUGACUAGACUUUUAAGCAAGUCAAUUAAGCUUUUUGACUUCCAGUUUUAUUUGUAAAAUGUAGCUCAUAAGAGAUGCUCUCCAAAUCCCAGGACUGUAGUGGGAUUAUGGCAUAUAAAAUAAAUUAAAAUGUUCUAAAAUAGUCUUUCAUGAGGUACAGGUAUUGUCUUACUUGAUUUCAUGAGUAUCCCCAAGGAUUUCCUUAUAAUGUUUAAGUUAUUGCUAAUAAUUACUGAGGAAAAAAUUAUUGGAGUCUGAAACCUUAUUUCCAUUGAAGAACAUGCUUUGCUAAUUUGUUAUUACUUGACUUCAAAAAUAAAGGCUUUUUGUU
rnacentral:lncRNA from 1 species